rnacentral:rRNA from 1 species
UUAAAUUGAAGAGUUUGAUCAUGGCUCAGAUUGAACGCUGGCGGCAGGCCUAACACAUGCAAGUCGAACGGUAACAGGAAGAAGCUUGCUUCUUUGCUGACGAGUGGCGGACGGGUGAGUAAUGUCUGGGAAACUGCCUGAUGGAGGGGGAUAACUACUGGAAACGGUAGCUAAUACCGCAUAACGUCGCAAGACCAAAGAGGGGGACCUUCGGGCCUCUUGCCAUCGGAUGUGCCAGAUGGGAUUAGCUAGUAGGUGGGGUAACGGCUCACCUAGGCGACGAUCCCUAGCUGGUCUGAGAGGAUGACCAGCACACUGGAACUGAGACACGGUCCAGACUCCUACGGGAGGCAGCAGUGGGGAAUAUUGCACAAUGGGCGCAAGCCUGAUGCAGCCAUGCCGCGUGUAUGAAGAAGGCCUCGGGUUGUAAGUACUUUCAGCGGGGAGGAAGGGAGUAAAGUUAAU